GUACACUCCUGCGGGAGGCAGCAGUGGGGAAUUUUGGACAAUGGGCGAAAGCCUGAUCCAGCAAUGCCGCGUGUGUGAAGAAGGCCUUCGGGUUGUAAAGCACUUUUGUCCGGAAAGAAAUCCUUGGCUCUAAUACAGUCGGGGGAUGACGGUACCGGAAGAAUAAGCACCGGCUAACUACGUGCCAGCAGCCGCGGUAAUACGUAGGGUGCGAGCGUUAAUCGGAAUUACUGGGCGUAAAGCGUGCGCAGGCGGUUUGCUAAGACCGAUGUGAAAUCCCCGGGCUCAACCUGGGAACUGCAUUGGUGACUGGCAGGCUAGAGUAUGGCAGAGGGGGGUAGAAUUCCACGUGUAGCAGUGAAAUGCGUAGAGAUGUGGAGGAAUACCGAUGGCGAAGGCAGCCCCCUGGGCCAAUACUGACGCUCAUGCACGAAAGCGUGGGGAGCAAACAGGAUUAGAAACCCCAGUAGUCCC
rnacentral:rRNA from 1 species